rnacentral:lncRNA from 1 species
UAAAUAAAUAAAUAAACUUUAAAGCUCUAUGAAUUCUUUAGAAUUUUUUUUUUUUUUUCUAGAAUUGUCUAAGCUUUCCUAAAUACUAAAUGAGCUAUAAAACAAGACUAUAUGAAUCCCAAUUAUAUGAUGGUUAACAGUGAUUCAGAAGACAAUUCAGGAACAUAGCAUAGAUCUCUAUUCUAAAAUUAUUUCAGAACUAGUUAGCUGCUGGAGUGCUUAAAGACAAGUUAUAGUUCUUGUCCAAACUCUUAACAUGAUUUGGGAAAAAUUCUGCUUUAAUUUCAGAAGAGUAAUUUAGUGAUCCUUAAGUAGAGAUAUUUCAGUGGACCAUGAGGGUUAAAACUAAUCUUUUUCUUCUUUUCUGUCUUUUUCUUUAACAGAUUAGAGAACACCUGGGUUUGGAUUUGCAUAAAUUGAAAAUUAAAGAUCCAUAGGGCUGUGUUUGUCAUUAAUGUUUAGUUUUUCAACUUCAGUGCAUCUGAAGAAGUAAAAUGUGUCUCACCUUCAUUAUAGUUGGUGAAACAGCAACUUUGACAUCCUGACAUCAGUAUAUGUAAAAAAAAUACAAAUGUGCCUCCAAUGUACUAUAAUCAUCUGCAGGUAAUUUUUGUCUUUCUUUUUACAGAAGAGAAAUGAAGAGCCUAUGAAUGAUUGCACCUUCAAAUGAACUCAUCACCUGCACCUGUCUUUAUUUGAAUGUUGGAAACAGGAAGCUAAAGUGUGAAGGACGUAAAAUACUUUCUGGAACCACCUGAAAGUACCUGUGGAGAAUAUACUGCCUUUCAUGCUGAAGUGGAGAUGCUUUUAUGAGAAAUGUUCCUGAAAAGAGAACCUUUUUGAAGCAGGGCAUCACUGGUAAGAACUUCCUUCUGCCCCUCCAGGACUUUAGUUAAUGGUGUUGAUAAACAUACAUUAUAGAUUUUACAGAAUGCCUGUAAAUGAAGAUAAGCUGAUGUAAGAAAGCCAAAAACUAAUUGAGCUUUUCUCAACAGCAUGCUGUUUCCGGUUUUGAGCCUUUCAAUUUUUUCAGGAGUUUUCUGUGAAGGGUUCAGUUGAGGUUUCUGAAGGCUGUGUGAUCACAUUCUACUGCAUUUUCUGAAUGUUCAUGUUAACACUGUCACAGCUCUGAGAGAUGAGAACAGCCCAAAGUAAGAAACAAGUGCUUU